AUACGUAGGGGGCGAGCGUUGUCCGGAAUGAUUGGGCGUAAAGCGCGCGCAGGCGGCCCGGUAAGUCUGGUGUGAAAGCCCUGUGUUUAAGCUGGGAAUUGCUUCGGAUACUGUCGGUCUUGAGUGCAGGAGAGGUAAGUGGAAUUCCCAGUGUAGCGGUGAAAUGCGUAGAUAUAAGGAAGAACACCAGUGGCGAAGGCGGCUCUCUGGACGACAACUGACGCUGAGGCGCGAAAGCGUGGGGAGCAAACAGGAUUAGAUACCCUGGUAGUCCAUGCCGUAAACGGUGGGCGCUAGGUGUAGGGGUCUUCCAGGCCUUCUGUGCCGUAGCUAACGCAUUAAGCGCCCCGCCUGGGGAGUACGGCCGCAAGGCUAAAACUCAAAUGAAUUGACGGGG
rnacentral:rRNA from 1 species